ensembl:rRNA 5S_rRNA 5S ribosomal RNA
GUCUACAGCCAUACCACCCUGAACACACCUGAUCUCUUCUGAUCUCCGAAGCUAAGUAGGGUCAGACCUGGUUAGUACUUGGAUGGAAGACCACCUGGGAAUACCGGGUGCUGUAGGCU